rnacentral:tRNA from 1 species
GCCCCCGUAGCUCAGCUGGAUAGAGCAGCGGUUUCCUAAACCGUUGGCCGCCCGUUCAAGUCGGGCCGGGGGUA